rnacentral:rRNA from 1 species
UCGAGCGAACAGAUAAGGAGCUUGCUCCUUUGACGUUAGCGGCGGACGGGUUAGUAACACGUGGAUAACCUACCUAUAAGACUGGGAUAACCUCGGGAAACCGGAGCUAAUACCGGAUAACAUAUUGAACCGCAUGGUUCAAUAGUGAAAGGCGGCUUUGCUGUCACUUAUAGAUGGAUCCGCGCCGUAUUAGCUAGUUGGUAAGGUAACGGCUUACCAAGGCAACGAUACGUAGCCGACCUGAGAGGGUGAUCGGCCACACUGGAACUGAGACACGGUCCAGACUCCUACGGGAGGCAGCAGUAGGGAAUCUUCCGCAAUGGGCGAAAGCCUGACGGAGCAACGCCGCGUGAGUGAUGAAGGUCUUCGGAUCGUAAAACUCUGUUAUCAGGGAAGAACAAAUGUGUAAGUAACUGUGCACAUCUUGACGGUACCUGAUCAGAAAGCCACGGCUAACUACGUGCCAGCAGCCGGGUAAUACGUAGGUGGCAAGCGUUAUCCGGAAUUAUUGGGCGUAAAGCGCGCGUAGGCGGUUUUUUAAGUCUGAUGUGAAAGCCCACGGCUCACCGUGGAGGGCAUUGGAAC